UACGGGGGGAGCAAGCGUUGUUCGGAUUCACUGGGCGUAAAGGGUGCGUAGGUGGCCAGGUAAGUUCGGUGUGAAAGCUCGGAGCUCAACUCCGAAAUGUCAUUGAAUACUAUCUGGCUGGAGGGUCGGAGGGGAGACUGGAAUUCUCGGUGUAGCAGUGAAAUGCGUAGAUAUCGAGAGGAACACCAGUGGCGAAGGCGAGUCUCUGGACGACUCCUGACACUGAGGCACGAAAGCUAGGGGAGCAAACAGG
rnacentral:rRNA from 1 species